AUUGAACGCUGGCGGCAGGCUUAACACAUGCAAGUCGAACGCGUGGCGGACGGGUGAGUAUUGCAUGGGAAUCUAGCUCCUGGAGGGGGAUAACUACGGUAAACUGUAGAUAAUAACGCGUACCAUAGGAAGAGUCGAGAUGGGAUUAGGUAGUUGGUGAGGUAAAGGCUCACCAAGCCGACGAUCUCUAGCUGGUCUGUGAGGAGGACCAGCCACACUGGGACUGAGACACGGCCCAGACCCCUACGGGAGGCAGCAGUGGGGAAUAUUGCGCAAUGGGGGGAACCUGACGCAGCCAUGCCGCGUGAAUGAAGAAGGCCUGCGGGUUGUAAAGUUCUUUCGGUAGCGAGGCGGUAACUACAGAAGAAGCACCGGCUAACUCCGUGCCAGCAGCCGCGGUAAUAC
rnacentral:rRNA from 1 species